rnacentral:rRNA from 1 species
AACGAACGCUGGCGGCAUGCCUAACACAUGCAAGUCGAACGAGACCUUCGGGUCUAGUGGCGCACGGGUGCGUAACGCGUGGGAAUCUGCCCUUGGGUUCGGAACAACAGUUGGAAACGACUGCUAAUACCGGAUGAUGACUUCGGUCCAAAGAUUUAUCGCCCAAGGAUGAGCCCGCGUAGGAUUAGCUUGUUGGUGAGGUAAAAGCUCACCAAGGCGACGAUCCUUAGCUGGUCUGAGAGGAUGAUCAGCCACACUGGGACUGAGACACGGCCCAGACUCCUACGGGAGGCAGCAGUGGGGAAUAUUGGACAAUGGGCGAAAGCCUGAUCCAGCAAUGCCGCGCGAGUGAUGAAGGCCUUAGGGUUGUAAAGCUCUUUUACCCGGGAUGAUAAUGACAGUACCGGGAGAAUAAGCCCCGGCUAACUCCGUGCCAGCCGCCGCAGUAAAAC